rnacentral:rRNA from 1 species
GACAGAGGGUGCAAGCGUUGUUCGGAUUUACUGGGCGUAAAGCGCGCGUAGGCUGUCUCAAAAGUCGAAUGUGAAAUCUCAUGGCUCAACCGUGAAAGUGCGUUCGAUACUAUGAGACUUGAGUUUCAGAGGGGACAGUGGAAUUCCCAGUGUAGAGGUGAAAUUCGUAGAUAUUGGGAGGAACAUCGGUGGCGAAGGCGACUGUCUGGAUGAACACUGACGCUGAGGCGCGAAAGCGUGGGUAGCAAACAGG